AACGCGAAGAACCUUACCUACCCUUGACAUGGUCGGAAUCCUGCUGAGAGGCGGGAGUGCUCGAAAGAGAACCGGCGCACAGGUGCUGCAUGGCUGUCGUCAGCUCGUGUCGUGAGAUGUUGGGUUAAGUCCCGCAACGAGCGCAACCCUUAUCCUUAGUUGCUACGCAAGAGCACUCUAAGGAGACUGCCGGUGACAAACCGGAGGAAGGUGGGGAUGACGUCAAGUCCUCAUGGCCCUUAUGGGUAGGGCUUCACACGUCAUACAAUGGUCGGAACAGAGGGUUGCCAACCCGCGAGGGGGAGCUAAUCCCAGAAAACCAUGUAGUCCGGAUUGCACUCUGCAACUCGAGUGCAUGAAGCUGGAAUCGCUAGUAAUCGCGAUCAGCAUGC
rnacentral:rRNA from 1 species